UGUCCUAAACACAAGAACAAAACUCCACGUUUGAAUUUAGCCACCUACUCAGAUUUUAAUCCAAAGUCCGAUAUAUAUAUAUAUAUAUAUAUAUAUAUAUAUAUAUAUAUUAUUAUAUAUAUAUUUUUUCCAAUACCAGAAACAUUUCCUAUGAUGCUGUAUUAAUAGCUAAAAACUAAACAAACUAUAAAAAAAAACACCUAAUCAGUCAACUCUGCAGUUUCUCUAAUCUCCGUGGGAUGUCCUCUCUUGCUGUUGUGCCUGUGAACUCUGACCUCUGGCUUCCAGCCCCUGUUCUCUCAGAACAUCGAACAAACGGUCAGGUUCUGCUCUAUCUGCGUCUUGUUAAACUUUGGACCAUCUCAGCUGAAAACCUUCAUGACAGUCUUGUGACUUCUGGCUCCAAAACGCCGACAUCAGCGACCCCCUCAUCUCCGUUGUGCAGAUCAACACAAAGCAGUGCAGGAUUUGAAGUGGAAGGAAAGCGAUGUUUCGACGACUUCUUUCACGCGUGAAAAUCUGAAAAGUGUGGCGUGCUUUUGUAGCAAGGUUACUUUAGGUUACUAAAAUGAAAGAAAUGGCAAACAUUUUUGUCAACUGAUAAAACUAAGUAAUGAGGGGGAAAACUAUAACAGGAACUAUAUUAUACCUUUAUAAAACAAACUAAAAUUCUGCUUUCAUGUUUAUAAAUCUAUUUAUUAGCAUUUCGAACUGAAGUGAAAUAGACUUUUUUUUUACACAGCACUUCAGACCUGCCUAUGCAUCUAUCUGGUAGUGAAUAUUAAACGGUAGAUACCAUCUUCAGAAAAUUGGUCCAAUUAUUAUUAUGUUUUCUCCCAACUAUUUCUGUCGCCAUUUUGUGGACAGUGUCAGUUAACUACUGCGAUUACUUUGCUGUGCAGACCUUUGACUAGUUUAAAUGAAAUGACUUAACUGGAUUCAAUAAAAUUUGAAGUGACGUACCAAGCGGGCGGAGCCAUGGUUCCCGUUGCCAGGAAACACGAAACCAGCCACAUGGCAUUCAGAGUCGGCCCCUUUACUGUAACAUUCCCUCUCCCUGUAGAACCUGAAGUUCCUGUCCGACCAGAACCAGAACCGAGCCGGGCGUCUCAUCCACCCAGCCAACACCUCAGACAAUCCACUUUUGAACGGCUUCAUGA